GAUUACAUUUUUUGCUACUAGGGUUUGUCCUGAGUACUGUGAUGUCAACUGAAUUGAGAAAGGAGGUUUUAAUUCAUAGCCAGCAUCCAGCUUCCAAACAGCUCCCCAUGAUUGUUGCAUGGCUCGCCAUUUUCCCGAACCCUUUAAGGUCUCCUUUAGGGCAACACCAGCAAGGUCUCCAUCCCCCUCUUCAAACUCAACCAGCACAGAGAAGGAGUUAGGGUUUGCGCCUAGGUCUA
rnacentral:lncRNA from 1 species